CGAAGGAUUCGAGCGUUAUCCGGAUUUAGUUGGGUUUAAAGGGUGCGUAGGUGGACUAAUAAGUCAGUAGUGAAAGCCCGCAGCUUAACUGCGGAACUGCCAUUGAUACUGUUAGUCUUGAGUACAGUUGAGGUGGGCGGAAUGUGUCAUGUAGCGGUGAAAUGCUUAGAUAUGACACAGAACACCGAUUGCGAAGGCAGCUCACUAAGCUGUAACUGACACUGAGGCACGAAAGCGUGGGGAGCAAACAGGAUUAGAUACCCUGGUAGUCCACGCCCUAAACGAUGAUUACUCGAUGUUGGCGAUACACUGUCAGCGUCUAAGCGAAAGCAUUAAGUAAUCCACCUGGGGAGUACGACCGCAAGGUUG
rnacentral:rRNA from 1 species